AAUCUUAAGUAUAUUUAGGCAUAGUAUGAUUUAACACAAAGACUUUAUUUCUUUUAAAAAUAGUAUCCUAUUCAUUAGUGUGUGUGGAGUUUGUGGUGUGACUUAACUAUUCUCUAAGCAGAAGCUUAGAGCCACAAAAAAGAUAUACUUAAAGAAAAUAUCCCUCAUUUCCCAGCUUACUUGAUAGUAGGCUAAGCACUUAUAAAAGAAAGGUACACAGCAACAGUAAUUUUACAAAUCUAAACAUUGCAAAAACCAGUGUGUUCUUCAGUAAAAAAGUAGUCUCAGAGGUGAAAAAAUAUAGACAGACCAUGGAUUAGUUGUUGGAGAAAGAAGAGCAGGUGGUACACACGGAGAGGAGACAGCACUUUGUCUGGUAAAGAUCAUUUUUUUUCAAAUUUCUCUUUCUUCUCUACUACUUAUAUUUUAAAAACCACUAUAAUCUUAUGCAAAAAUAUUCCAGUAAUUACCCCAAAUUCUAUAUUUGCAAUAUCACAUUAAUAAUAAGGUUAAUGAAGAAGAAAAAGAACAACAAAUUAGGAAAGAGUAACAAAGUUUGAGAAUUUCUUUCUGUUUGCUAUACUAAUUAUGUUUGAGCCACUGUCCUGCUGGAACAAGU
rnacentral:lncRNA from 1 species